GAAAUGCGAUAAGUAAUGUGAAUUGCAGAAUUCAGUGAAUCAUCGAAUCUUUGAACGCACCUUGCGCUCCUUGGUAUUCCUUGGAGCAUGCCUGUUUGAGUAUCAUGAAAUCUUCAAAGUAAAUCUUUUGUUAACUCAAUUGGUUUCUACUUUGGUAUUGGAGGUCUUUGCAGCUUCACACCUGCUCCUCUUUGUUCAUUAGCUGGAUCUCAGUGUUAUGCUUGGUUCCACUCGGCGUGAUAAGUUAUCUAUCGCUGAGGACACUGUAAAAGGUGGCCAAGGUAAAUGCAGAUGAACCGCUUCUAAUAGCCCAUUGACUUGGACAAUACUUUUAUGAUCUGAUCUCAAAUCAGGUAGGACUACCCGCUGAACUUAAGC
rnacentral:misc_RNA from 1 species